rnacentral:misc_RNA from 1 species
GAUGAAGAACGUAGCGAAAUGCGAUAAUUAAUGUGAAUUGCAGAAUUUAGUGAAUCAUCGAAUCUUUGAACGCACAUUGCGCCCAUUAGUAUUCUAGUGGGCAUGCCUGUUCGAGCGUCAUUUCAACCCUUAAGCCUAGCUUAGUGUUGGGAGCCUACUGUAUUGUAGCUCCCCAAAUCCAACGGCGGAUCUGUGGUAUCCUCUGAGCGUAGUAAUUUUUAUCUCGCUUUUGUCAGGUGCUGCAGCUCUCAGCCGCUAAACCCCCCAAUUUUUAAUGGUUGACCUCGGAUCAGGUAGGAAUACCCGCUGAACUUAAGCAUAUCAAUAAGCGGAGGA